AUUGAACGCUGGCGGCAGGCCUAACACAUGCAAGUCGAGCGAGCGGCGGACGGGUGAGUACUGUCUGGGAAACUGCCUGAUGGAGGGGGAUAACUACUGGAAACGGUAGCUAAUACCGCAUACCAUCAGAUGUGCCCAGAUGGGAUUAUCUAGUCGGUGGGGUAACGGCUCACCUAGGCGACGAUCCCUAGCUGGUCUGAGAGGAUGACGUGCCACACUGGAACUGAGACACGGUCCAGACCCCUACGAGAGGAAGCAGUGGCGAAUAUUGCACAAUGGGCGCAAGCCGGAUGCAGCCAAGCAGAAUGUAUGAAGAAGGCCUUCGGGUUGUAAAGUACUUGCAGCGGGGAGGCUUUACCCGCAGAAGAAGCACCGGCUAACUCCGGGCCAGCCGCCGCGGUAAUAC
rnacentral:rRNA from 1 species